AUAAACAACAUUCAAUAAUAUAUAUUUUUUUUUUAAAUGUAGGGCUCUUGGACCUUUCAAUGCCUUUCCCUGUAUAUAACACAGUCACCCCUUGUUAUAAUAAUUUGUAUAAGUAUUUGUACUAUCAAACAAGUAUUUAAAAUUGAUCUGCUAGAAAUAGAUCUAGUAUUUAUUCAGCAGGCUGCAGUGUUUGAAACACCAGCUUCACCUUCAUGUCAAGUUUUGUCUCUGUAUAAGUAAAAAAAACAACAUUGCCAUGUAUGUAAGAAGAAGAUGCUUAAAGUGUGAAUGCAGUCUAAAAUCUUGGGCUUUAGAUUACCAAAUGUCAAGAGCUAUUCACUUUGUAUUUCAUGAAACAUAAGUUCAAAUAUGUAACACACAAUCAAGUUCUAAACAUUCUAACAAUUUAAUACAAAUAAUACACUGAAAAAGGAUUUUGUUUUUCAAUAAAAUAGACUAUUAUGCCUUAA